GAGGGUGUAGCUCAGUGGUGGAGCCUAUGCCUGGCAUGCACAAGGUCCUGGGUUCAAUCGCCAGUACCUCCA
rnacentral:tRNA from 1 species